ensembl:lncRNA
AGGCGCCGCGAAAGCAGCUCCAUCUUCUGCCGCCGCCCGGCCUUCCAGCGCGCCCGGGGGCGCUGCGCCCCGCCGCGGCCGAGUUCUCCCCCUUGGUCGCCCUCCCUUCUCCCCCGGCGGCCGAGGCUUUAUGCGGCUCCUUGUCACUUGCGGAGAAUGCCUGUGCGAGGCCUGUGCUGCCACACGGCCGAUUGUGAGCGUGCCAAGGCGGGUGAAUGGGGAGGCCUCAGCGCGCCGCGCCAUUGUGGGGCCGGGCCUCGCUGAAAGGCGGCUCCGGGCCGGGAAGGUGCGGAAAGAAUGGCUUUUUAUUGGAGUCCCGAACAAAAGGUGGCCCCAGUGCUGUGGAACUUCUCACUGGGUGCUGACUGCAAGGAAGAUGGGCAGAGCUAGACUCUUGAACCACCUGGGUGGAGCCAGAACACCGGAAAUCGACCACAGAAGACCUGCAGCCUAUCCCCAUCCCAGAGGAAGGUGAGAAAUAUGGUCAGCGAUCAAGAUGCUGCCCAGCACGGAGCACUCACUUCUAAGCCUGGAUUUCAGCGCGUGCGCACUAGAAAACCCAAGGCUCUGGGAGCAGAUUCCAUUGCUCCGCUGGGGGUUUUCCUAAGUAAGCAACUCCUUUUUCUCCCUCCUGGUCUGUAUCCUGCUGGAC